rnacentral:tRNA from 1 species
GGGGCUGUGGCCUAGUCAGGAAGGGCGGCGGGCUCCAGACCCGCCGAUCGUGUGUUCGAAUCGCACCAGCCCCA